rnacentral:rRNA from 1 species
UACAGAGGGUGCAAGCGUUGUUCGGAUUCAUUGGGCGUAAAGGGUUUGUAGGUGGCUCGCUAAGUCAGACGUGAAAUCCCUCAGCUUAACUGGGGAACUGCGUCUGAGACUGGCAAGCUUGAGUGCAGGAGAGGAACGCGGAAUUCCAGGUGUAGCGGUGAAAUGCGUAGAUAUCUGGAGGAACACCGGUGGCGAAGGCGGCGUUCUGGACUGUAACUGACACUGAUGAACGAAAGCCAGGGGAGCAAACGGG